GUGCUCAGUAAAUAUUUGUGAAAUGAAUGA
rnacentral:piRNA from 2 species